rnacentral:rRNA from 1 species
AGAGUUUGAUCCUGGCUCAGGAUGAACGCUGGCGGCGUGCUUAACACAUGCAAGUCGAACGAACCUUCGGGUUAGUGGCGGACGGGUGAGUAACGCGUGAGAAUCUGCCCUCAGGAGGGGGAUAACGGUUGGAAACGACCGCUAAUACCCCAUAUGCCUACUGGUGAAAUGAAUUUCGCCUGAGGAUGAGCUCGCGUCUGAUUAGCUAGUUGGUGAGGUAAUAGCUCACCAAGGCUUCGAUCAGUAGCUGGUCUGAGAGGAUGAUCAGCCACACUGGGACUGAGACACGGCCCAGACUCCUACGGGAGGCAGCAGUGGGGAAUUUUCCGCAAUGGGCGAAAGCCUGACGGAGCAACGCCGCGUGAGGGACGAAGGCCUCUGGGCUGUAAACCUCUUUUCUCAAGGAAGAAGAUAUGACGGUACUUGAGGAAUAAGCCACGGCUAAUUCCGUGCCAGCAGCCGCGGUAAUACGGGAGUGGCAAGCGUUAUCCGGAAUUAUUGGGCGUAAAGCGUCCGCAGGCGGCUUUUCAAGUCUGCUGUUAAAGCGUGGAGCUUAACUCCAUCAUGGCAGUGGAAACUGAAAGGCUUGAGUAUGGUAGGGGCAGAGGGAAUUCCCGGUGUAGCGGUGAAAUGCGUAGAUAUCGGGAAGAACACCAGUGGCGAAGGCGCUCUGCUGGGCCAUUACUGACGCUCAUGGACGAAAGCCAGGGGAGCGAAAGGGAUUAGAUACCCCUGUAGUCCUGGCCGUAAACGAUGAACACUAGGUGUCGGGGGAAUCGACCCCUUCGGUGUCGUAGCUAACGCG